CCUACGGGUGGCAGCAGUGGGGAAUAUUGGGCAAUGGGCGCAAGCCUGACCCAGCAACGCCGCGUGAAGGAAGAAGGCCUUCGGGUUGUAAACUUCUUUUUAGAGGGAAGAGCAGAAGACGGUACCUCUUGAGUAACACACGGCUAACUACGUGCCAGCAGCCGCGGUAAUACGUAGGUGGCAAGCGUUGUCCGGAUUUACUGGGUGUAAAGGGCGUGUAGCCGGGCUGACAAGUCAGAUGUGAAAUUCCGGGGCUCAACCCCGGACGUGCAUUUGAAACUGUUGGUCUUGAGUAUAGGAGAGGCAGGCGGAAUUCCUAGUGUAGCGGUGAAAUGCGUAGAUAUUAGGAGGAACACCAGUGGCGAAGGCGGCCUGCUGGACGACAACUGACGGUGAGGCGCGAAAGCGUGGGGAGCAAACAGGAUUAGAUACCCGGGUAGUC
rnacentral:rRNA from 1 species